GAAGGCAGCAGGCGCGCAAAUUGCCCAAUCCCGACACGGGGAGGCAGUGACAAGAAAUAACAACUCUUGGAUUUCUAAGAAGUGUAAUGAGGAUAAUUUACAACCCUUACCGAAAGCAAUUGGAGGGCAAGUCUGGUGCCAGCAGCCGCGGUAAUUCCAGCUCCAAUAGCGUAUAUUAAAGUUGUUGCAGUUAAAAAGCUCGUAGUUGAAGUUCUGAUUGUUCGGGCCUCGCGCUUUAUAGCCGAGGAACCGACAGUCAUCCGCUUGCAAAUAUAUGUUCGCCUUUAACCGGGUGGCUAUAUGAGUAAGCAAUUUACCUUGAGAAAAACAGAGUGUUCCAGGCAGGUUUGUCCGGAAUGCAUUAGCAUGGAAUAAUAGAAUAUGACUGAAGUCGAUUUAUUGGUUUAAGGCUUUAGUAAUGAUUAAUAGGAACAGUCGGGGGGCAUUGGUUACGUUGUACAGUCAGAGGUGAAAUUCUAGGAUUGUCAAAGACUAACAAAUGCGAAAGCAUUUGCC
rnacentral:rRNA from 1 species